UGAGUAUUUAGAACUUUUUCUUAUUUUUGAGUUUGUAAAAAUUAAAUCUUUCAAGUAAGGUGAACGAUUUUGCUGUGUUUAAUUUAUACAAAAUGUCUCUUUAAAGUUUCAUUAACUCAAAAUCUUUCAGCCCAGUGAUUUUGCGUGUGACGUCAUCCAGGUUCACGUACGUUCUCGUGCUUCAUUCGUUUUUUCAAGAUGGCGGAUCGGCCUCGCUUCACACUACAAAUUGAAGGUCGGUUGUUGCUGACUACAGAAAGAUUCUCAUAUGGAGGCAUGUAAAAGCAAGGAAAGUGAAACUUCAGCUAGACCUUGAGUUCAGUUUACAAUAUGAAGAUCCUGAUAUCAACAUCUGAUCUGAUCAACACCUGAUUUUCAUCUGAGGCAAACAGCAUCCAAAACUGACAAGACCGCAGAUACCCUGGCUAAUCUUUUGAAGGUUUAUGAUGAGCAGGAACUGCAUGAUGUCAGUUCAUGAUGGACUACUGUUAUCAGAGGUCUUUUGGUCUUGCUGCGUGAGCGUGACUGGGGAUUCUUUAGGACCACCCUGAUUAAUAAUCCUGAAGCGCUGACUGAAGAUGCUUUAUUGGCCCUGCAGUCACUGAGGGUCUCUGCUGUCCUGAAGAAUGAAUUGGACACCACCCACAGCACACUUCCAGACCUUUUUUGUCUUGUUUGGAUUAAUGUAUGCUCUUCACAUAGUAUAUAGUAAAGGACUUUGAACUUGUACAAAAAGUUUUGCUUGGCAUGGAUGAUAGAAAAUAGAAAGUCGAUUAGCAUAGAAUCCUUAAAGAAUGAGUUGAUGUAGAGCCUUUUUUUGUACUCAAUAAAGACUGUCACUGGGGUAGUAACUUCAAAACAUGUAUGUACCUUUAAUUGGUA